rnacentral:rRNA from 1 species
AUUGAACGCUGGCGGCAUGCCUUACACAUGCAAGUCGAACGGCAGCACGGGAGCAAUCCUGGUGGCGAGUGGCGAACGGGUGCGUAAAGUAUCGGAACGUGCCCAGUCGUGGGGGAUAACGUAGCGAAAGUUACGCUAAUACCGCAUACGAUCUAUGGAUGAAAGCGGGGGAUCGCAAGACCUCGCGCGAUUGGAGCGGCCGAUAUCAGAUUAGGUAGUUGGUGGGGUAAAGGCUCACCAAGCGGACGAUCUGUAGCUGGUCUGAGAGGACGACCAGACAGACUGAGACUUAGACACGGACAAGACUCCGCCGGGAGGCAGCAGUGGGGAAUUUUGGACAAUUGGCGCAAGCCUGAUCCAGCCAUGCCGCGUGCAGGAUGAAGGCCUUCGGGUUGUAAACUGCUUUUGUACGGAACGAAAAGGUUUGGCCUAAUAAGCUGAGCUCAUGACGGUACCGUAAGAAUAAGCACCGGCUAACUACGUGCCAGCAGCCGCAGUAA